rnacentral:rRNA from 1 species
GACGAACGCUGGCGGCGUGCUUAACACAUGCAAGUCGAACGGAAAGGCCCUGCUUUUGUGGGGUGCUCGAGUGGCGAACGGGUGAGUAACACGUGAGUAACCUGCCCUUGACUUUGGGAUAACUUCAGGAAACUGGGGCUAAUACCGGAUAGGAGCUCCUGCUGCAUGGUGGGGGUUGGAAAGUUUCGGCGGUUGGGGAUGGACUCGCGGCUUAUCAGCUUGUUGGUGGGGUAGUGGCUUACCAAGGCUUUGACGGGUAGCCUGCCUGAGAGGGUGAACGGGCACAAUGGGACUGAGAUACGGACCAGACUCCAACGGGAGGCAGCAGUGGAGAGUAUUGCACAGUGAGGGGGAGUGUGAGGCAGAAGCGCUGCGUUCGGGAUGACGGCCUUCGGGUUGUAAACCGCUUUCGCCUGUGACGAAGCGUGAGUGACGGUAAUGGGUAAAGAAGCACCGGCUAACUACGUG